CGGACUGGGCAGUGAAUGGUCACUCUAGGGGGUAAAUGGUCAGACUGGGCAGUGAAUGGUCAGUCCAGGGGGUAAAAGGUCACUCUGGGUUGUGAAUGGUCAGUCUGGAUGGUAAAAGGUCACUCUAGGUGGUAAAAGGUCACUCUGAGCAGUAAAUGGUCAUUCUGGGUUGUGAAUGGUCAGUUUUGGUAGUAAAAGGUCACUCUGGGCAGUAAAAGGUCACUCUGGGCAGUAAAAGGUCACUCUGGGUUGUGAAUGGUCAGUCUGGGUGGUAAAAGGUCACUCUGGUGUUAAAAGGUCAUUUUGGGCAGGAAAAGGUCACUGUAGGUACUGAAUGGUCACUCUGGGCAGUGAAUGGUCACUCUGGGCACCAAAAGGUCAUCCCAAACAGCUCCUGGGAUUGAAACAUCUGGAAUUAAAGCAUCCCAAACAGCUCCUGGGAUU